rnacentral:rRNA from 1 species
UGGGGAAUAUUGCACAAUGGGCGCAAGCCUGAUGCAGCCAUGCCGCGUGUGUGAAGAAGGCCUUCGGUUGUAAAGCACUUUCAGCGAGGAGGAAGGUGGUGAACUUAAUACGUUCAUCAAUUGACGUUACUCGCAGAAGAAGCACCGGCUAACUCCGUGCCAGCAGCCGCGGUAAUACGGGAGGGUGCAAGCGUUAAUCGGAAUUACUGGGCGUAAAGCGCACGCAGGCGGUUUGUUAAGUCAGAUGUGAAAUCCCCGGGCUCAACCUGGGAACUGCAUUUGAAACUGGCAAGCUAGAGUCUCGUAGAGGGGGGUAGAAUUCCAGGUGUAGCGGUGAAAUGCGUAGAGAUCUGGAGGAAUACCGGUGGCGAAGGCGGCCCCCUGGACGAAGACUGACGCUCAGGUGCGAAAGCGUGGGGAGCAAACAGGAUUAGAUACCCCUGGUAGUCCACGCUGUAAACGAUGUCGAUUUUGGAGGUUGUGCCCCUUGAGGCGUGGNUUCCGGAGCUAACG